rnacentral:rRNA from 1 species
CCUACGGGUGGCAGCAGUGAGGAAUAUUGGUCAAUGGACGAGAGUCUGAACCCGCCAAGUAGCGUGAAGGAUGACUGCCCUAUGGGUUGUAAACUUCUUUUAUAUGGGAAUAAAAUGUUCCACGUGUGGGAUUUUGUAUGUACCAUAUGAAUAAGGAUCGGCUAACUCCGUGCCAGCAGCCGCGGUAAUACGGAGGAUCCGAGCGUUAUCCGGAUUUAUUGGGUUUAAAGGGAGCGUAGGUGGAUUGUUAAGUCAGUUGUGAAAGUUUGCGGCUCAACCGUAAAAUUGCAGUUGAAACUGGCAGUCUUGAGUACAGUAGAGGUGGGCGGAAUUCGUGGUGUAGCGGUGAAAUGCUUAGAUAUCACGAAGAACUCCGAUUGCGAAGGCAGUUCACUGGACUGCAACUGACACUGAGGCUCGAAAGUGUGGGUAUCAAACAGGAUUAGAUACCCCAGGAGUC